GAGGGGAGGUGGGAUAAUCCCUCGUUGCAAGUGUGGUGAUUUAUUUGGUGGCUUAUUUGGUGCAUAACAGGAUGGAUCUUCAAGAGGCAUGUACUGUAACUUUUUCAAAUGGUACUGAAGAAAAUAAUGAGGAAAGAGAUGAUGAAAUGGUCAAACAAAGGAGGAGAAUUUGUGAUCUAGAAAUUUUAGUCCAGAAGUAGCAGAAAAGGAUAAACAACAAAAUCAAAUUAAACCCUAACCGCCAAAUUUAUACUCCCAAAUUCGACGGAAAAUAUUUAAAUAACAAAUUUAUAUCUCCAAAAUCAUCAUCAAUUGAACAAAAUACGCAUAUUUAACACGAAAUCCAAUUAAACCCUAAUCCCCAAAUUUAUAGUCCCAAAUUCAACAAAAAAAUAUUUAAACAAAUUUAUACCCUCAAAAUCAUCGUCAAUCAAAGAAAAUACCUAUAUUUAACACAAAUUCAAAUUAAACCCUAACCCCCAAAUAAAACAACAAAAAUAUCAACUAAUUAGGUUUAGAUUAGGACCACUUACCUCACGUAUGUAUAAUGUUUCACUUAUACCUUCAAAGAAUCAAC
rnacentral:lncRNA from 1 species